rnacentral:misc_RNA from 1 species
GGUUACUUAGUUGAAAAUAAGCGGUACAACAUAAGAAGAAGCGUGAUGUGUGUUACCCAACUGGCAACGUUGUGCAAGUUCUAUAUUUCACACCAUUAGCCAUGGCGUCUCGCAUCGUACGCAAGGAGGAUAUAACGACGUACGAUCCUCCUUGAUCCCAAUGUCGUCUUCUCUAUGAUCCACUGCGGAUCUCGAUUCUCUCUGGACAAUGUGCCGUUCCGAGUUGUCAAGGAAACCGUCAAAGUGUGCAUAUUUGGAACGGAGUACUACAAGAAAACUCAGGAGAAAAAAAAAAAAAAGAACAGGUAUGUUACAUGGUGAUGCAGUUCCAAAAGUUUCAAUCUCAUGCACAUAUCCAGCAGUCAUCCAGUUCAAAGAUUGUGUGUAGGCAGUGUAAAGAAGAUUUACUUUAAGUUACUACAAGUUUACACGAGAAAUAAAUAUUGUUAACUUCAUUUACAGAGUUCACGUACCACUGACUGGCAGAAGGAGGUGUACGAGAAGAAGCGGGUGAACCUCCAAGGCACAAAGAAGAAGGGGUGCGCAGCAACAAUGAAUUUGAAGUGGAUUGAGUUGUACCCAGAUUUCCAGUAUUCCAUUCCAGAUACGCAUACUUUGACAGUUCCCUUGAUAACUGGAAACUGCACAUUGUCCAGAGGGAUUCGAGAUCCGCAGUGGAUCACGGAGAAGACGACAUUGGCUGAAAAUAAACAAUAAAGAGGAUUUAAUGAAGGCACCUAGUUUUAUGCAUGGCAGAGGGCAAUAUAAAAUCUCGUUUUAGUUUUUGUGUGAUGGCAGCAAAAAAACUUUAUGCGCUGCCUCUGGCAAGAAAUUCUGGCUGGCUUUUGUCAACCAGAAUAAUAAAUAUAAUUAUCAUUAA